rnacentral:lncRNA from 1 species
CAAGUUUUUGUGAAGAUGGAAAUCAACCGUAGCAACGGAUGGGGUCGUUGCAGCCCUUGGCGGCAGACUGGCCAGCGCCGUUUCUUCCGCCCUUCUCCAGAUACUGCUGGUGAUACUCUUCAGCUCUGUAGAAUCUCUUGGCUCCAACUACUUCUGUCACUAUCUUCUUCUUCACCUCUUUCUGCUUUGCUUCUAAUGAUUCUUGUGCUAAUUUUGCUUGUGUUUCGUUGUAGUAGUAUAUCCCUGACCUAUACUGUGUCCCAACAUCAUUUCCCUGCAACAUUAUUACAACUCAUAUCACUAAAUUCUUCAAAUCUCAUCACUAUUACCCCAUACAAUCUCAUCAAUUUUUUAUAAAAUUUCCUCUAUUAAGAGCUUAUAAUACCUAUUUAGAUGAAAAAAGGGUGAAAGAUUAUGCUCAAAGUAUCUCCAAAUAUAUUUACUUAAUACGUGUGAAAAAUACGAGUGGACUAUGUUGGGAAGUACAUUUCAUGAUCCAAUUUCCAUCCAUUUCAAAGCUUAAGUUUAGCAAGCUAGAAAAAUAUACCUAGAAAUCAAUUUAAACAACAUAAAAACGAAAUUCAAUAUAUAAAUUGACAACCACAUCAUAUAUAAUGUAUUGAAAUACUGAAAAUACCUGACGAUUAAGAGAAGUAGGAUCAUGUUUGGCCCAGAAGACAUGAAGCAAAGUUGUGUAGGGGCAAACAUUGGGGUCGAAAUGGAGGCGAACGACUUCGGCGUGGUUGGUGGAUCCGGUGCAAACCAGUUCGUAAUUGGGGUCGUGGACGUGGCCUUGCGAGUAGCCCACUUCAGUCUUGACGACGCC